UACGUAGGGGGCAAGCGUUGUCCGGAAUCAUUGGGCGUAAAGCGCGUGUAGGCGGUUUCGUAAGUCUGCUGUGAAAGUCGGAGGCUCAACCUUCGAAAGCCGGUGGAUACUGUGAGACUUGAGUACGGAAGAGGAGAGUGAAAUUCCUGGUGUAGCGGUGAAAUGCGCAGAUAUCAGGAGGAACACCAACGGCGAAGGCAGCUCUCUGGGACGUUACUGACGCUGAGACGCGAAAGCGUGGGGAGCAAACAGG
rnacentral:rRNA from 1 species